UACGGAGGGUGCAAGCGUUAUCCGGAUUCACUGGGUUUAAAGGGUGCGUAGGUGGCGCCGUAAGUCGGGUGUGAAAUUUCGGAGCUUAACUCCGAAACUGCAUUCGAUACUGCGGUGCUUGAGGACUGGAGAGGAGACUGGAAUUUACGGUGUAGCGGUGAAAUGCGUAGAUAUCGUAAGGAAGACCAGUGGCGAAGGCGGGUCUCUGGACAGUUCCUGACGCUGAGGCACGAAGGUCAGGGGAGCAAACGGG
rnacentral:rRNA from 1 species